GACGAACCGUGCGAACGUUGUUCGGAAUCAUUGGGCUUAAAGGGCGCGUAGGCGGGCCCGCAAGUCAGGGGUGAAAUCCCACGGCUCAACCGUGGAAGUGCCUCUGAUACUGCGGGCCUCGAGGGGGGUAGGGGCGUGCGGAACUUCCGGUGGAGCGGUGAAAUGCGUAGAUAUCGGGAGGAACACCGGUGGCGAAGGCGGUUCUCUGGGCCUGUACUGACGCUGAGGAGCGAAAGCGUGGGGAGCGAACAGG
rnacentral:rRNA from 1 species